CUUAGGGGGCCUGAGAGGGUGAUCCCCCACACUGGUACUGAGACCCGGACCAGAUUCCUACGGGAGGCAGCAGUGAGGAAUAUUGGACAAUGGGUGAGAGCCUGAUCCAGCCAUCCCGCGUGAAGGAUGACGGCCCUAUGGGUUGUAAACUUCUUUUGUACAGGGAUAAACCUACCCUCGUGAGGGUAGCUGAAGGUACUGUACGAAUAAGCACCGGCUAACUCCGUGCCAGCAGCCGCGGUAAUACGGAGGGUGCAAGCGUUAUCCGGAUUUAUUGGGUUUAAAGGGUCCGUAGGCGGAUCUGUAAGUCAGUGGUGAAAUCUCACAGCUCAACUGUGAAACUGCCAUUGAUACUGCAGGUCUUGAGUAUAUUUGAAGUAGCUGGAAUAAGUAGUGUAGCGGUGAAAUGCAUAGAUAUUACUUAGAACACCAAUUGCGAAGGCAGGUUACUAAACUAUAACUGACGCUGAUGGACGAAAGCGUGGGGAGCGAACAGGAUUAGAUACCCUGGUAGUCCACGCCGUAAACGAUGCUAACUCGUUUUUGGGCUUUCGGGCUCAGAGACUAAGCGAAAGUGAUAAGUUAGCCACCUGGGGAGUACGUUCGCAAGAAUGAAACUCAAAGGAAUUGACGGGGGCCCGCACAAGCGGUGGAUUAUGUGGUUUAAUUCGAUGAUACGCGAGGAACCUUACCAAGGCUUAAAUGGGAAAUGACAGGCUUAGAAAUAGGCUUUUCUUCGGACAUUUUUUCAAGGUGCUGCAUGGGUUGUCGUCAGCUCGUGCCGUGAGGUGUUAGGUUUAAGUCCUGCAACGAGCGCAACCCCUGUCACUAGUUGCCAUCAUUCAGUUGGGGACUCUAGUGAGACUGCCCUACGCAAGUAGAAGAGGAAGGUGGGGAUCGACGUCAAAUCAUCACGGGCCCUUACCGCCUUGGGCCACUACACGUAAUACAAUGGCCGGUACAGAGGGCAGCUACACAGCGAUGUGAUGCAAAUCUCGAAAGCCGGUCUCAGUUCGGAUUGGAGUCUGCAACUCGACUCUAUGAAGCUGGAAUCGCUAGUAAUCGCGCAUCAGCCAUGGCGCGGUGAAUACGUUCCCGGGCCUUGUA
rnacentral:rRNA from 1 species